rnacentral:lncRNA from 1 species
AUAAAACUUACACAGCUACAGGAAACAUCUACCAGGUACAGAAUGACUGCUUGCUUUACAGAGUGUGACUGUAUUUCAGUUACUCAAGGCUUUGAGAUCAUUUUUAAUUUGAUUUGCCUAUUGAAGGCUAUGCAGUGCUGAACCUCACUUGUGUUUUCUUGUCCUUCCUUCUGAAGAUCCCCAGAUGGAUGUGCAGCAGGUUCUCAGGUCCUGUUACAGAUGUGAGUGCAUUUCAACCUUGCAAAUCCUCCUCCAUGACUGUUCUUCUACUCAGAUUUUUUUAAGUUCCUGUUAACUACACAUUGUAUAAUAUAAUAGCAACCUCCUAAUGAAACAGCAAGACCAGUGAGAUGUCAAGAAUGUCAUACAAAAAGCCCAGGAAAGUAAAAC